rnacentral:rRNA from 1 species
AACGAACGCUGGCGGCAUGCCUAACACAUGCAAGUCGAACGAGACCUUCGGGCCUAGGGGCGCACGGGUGCGUAACGCGGGGGAACCUGCCCGUAGGUUAGGAAUAACUGCCCGAGGGGGGUGCUAAUACCGGAGAAUGUCUUCGGACAAAAGAUUUAUCGCUUUUGGAUGGGGCCGCGUUGGAUUAGCUGGUGGGUAGGGGAAAAGCCUACCAAGGCGACGAUCCAGGGCUGGGCUGAGAGGAGGAUCAGCCGCACUGGGACUGAGACACGGCCCAGACUCCUACGGGAGGGAGGAGUGGGGAAUAUUGGACGAUGGGCGAAAGCCUGAUACAGCCAUGCCGCGUGAGUGAUGAAGGCCUUAGGGUUGUGAAGCUCUUUUAGCCGGGAUGAUAAUGACAGUACCGGGAGAAUAAGCACCGGCUAACUCCGUG